AGACGAAAGUUAUAAACAUAUUGAUUUCGGCUCAAUAAAUUGAGAAUAGCAUUCUCUUCGUCUU
rnacentral:tRNA from 1 species